rnacentral:lncRNA from 1 species
UUAAUUCAAAAAUUUAAUAGGUGGUACAAAGAUGCAUCUCUAGACGCGUUUCAUACAUUAACCAACGCCAAAACAUUCUCUAUUCCUCCUUCAUUUGUCUCAAAACUCACUAAAACAAAAAAAAAACCGAUGCUUUUCCUCAAAAAUCCAAACUUCUCAACCAAUCAAGCUUCUCACUGUAUUGUAUUUCAGUUGCGCAAAAGUUUAUCACUACAUUCAAGCUUCUCUUCCAC